rnacentral:rRNA from 1 species
CUGGCUCAGAACGAACGCUGGCGGCGUGCUUAACACAUGCAAGUCGAACGCGAAAGGGACUUCGGUCCUGAGUAAAGUGGCGCACGGGUGAGUAACGCGUAGAUAACCUGUCUUCAUGUCUGGAAUAAUACGCCAAAGGGGUACUAAUACCGGAUAUUCUUGCUUUUCAUAAGUUAUGCAAGCAAAGGUGGCCUCUGCAUAUGCUACUGCAUGAAGAGGGGUCUGCGUACCAUUAGCUAGUAGGUGGGGUAAUGGCCUACCUAGGCGACGAUGGUUAGCGGGUCUGAGAGGAUGAUCCGCCACACUGGCACUGGAACACGGGCCAGACUCCUACGGGAGGCAGCAGUGAGGAAUAUUGCGCAAUGGGGGAAACCCUGACGCAGCGACGCCGCGUGAAGUGAGGAAGGCCUUCGGGCCGUAAAGCUCUGUCAAGAGGAAAGAAGUGUACAAUGGCUAAUACCUGUUGUAUUUGACGGUACCUCUAAAGGAAGCACCGGCUAACUCCGUGCCAGCCGCAGC